rnacentral:rRNA from 1 species
ACUCCUACGGGAGGCAGCAGUGGGGAAUAUUGCACAAUGGGCGCAAGCCUGAUGCAGCCAUGCCGCGUGUGUGAAGAAGGCCUUCGGGUUGUAAAGCACUUUCAGUAAGGAGGAAAGGUUAAGUGUUAAUAGCGCUUAGCUGUGACGUUACUUACAGAAGAAGCACCGGCUAACUCCGUGUCAGCAGCCGCGGUAAUACGGAGGGUGCGAGCGUUAAUCGGAAUUACUGGGCGUAAAGCGUACGCAGGCGGUUUGUUAGGCGAGAUGUGAAAGCCCCGGGCUCAACCUGGGAACUGCAUUUCGAACUGGCAAACUAGAGUGUGAUAGAGGGUGGUAGAAUUUCAGGUGUAGCGGUGAAAUGCGUAGAGAUCUGAAGGAAUACCGAUGGCGAAGGCAGCUACCUGGGUCAACACUGACGCUCAUGUACGAAAGCGUGGGGAGCAAACAGGAUUAGAUACCCUGGUAGUCCACGCCGUAAACGAUGUCUACUAGAAGCUCGGUUCCUCGGAACUGUUUUUCAAAGCUAACGCAUUAAGUAGACCGCCUGGGGAGUACGGCCGCAAGGUUAAAACUCAAAGGAAUUGACGG